AUGGCGAAGGCCGCAACAGCAGCAGCAGCGGCGCCUCUCCACAGCGGCCUCCCGGACGAGAUCGCCAUCUGGGAGAUCCUCGUCCGCCUGCCCCCCAAAUCGCUCCUCCGCUGUCGCGCCGUCUGCCGCGCCUGGCGCAGCGCCACCUCCGCCCGCGACUUCCUCCUCGCCCACCACGCCCGCCAGCCCGCCCUCCCCCUCGCCUGCGGCCUGGAAGACGACGGUGGCAGCUGCUACUACCUGGCGGCCCAGCACCAGCCCGUCGCCCGGCUUGCCAAGGCCUUCUAUCUGUGCGCCUCCUGCGACGGCCUCCUCCUCCUCUCCAAGCGCAACCAGCUCUCCAUCUGCAACCCGGCCACUCGUCAGUAUGCUCCCCUGCCGGCGAGUUCUGCCUUCAUUCCGUUGGGAAUGUACCGGCACCGCCCCACAGGCGAGUACCGAAUACUGCUGUACAAGGAAAUUGGUCUUCCAGCGACCGACGGGCAAGAUGCCUGCCACAUCUUCGCAUUGGGCUCUGUCCAGCCGCCGAGGAGCAUCGGGUCGCUGCAGGAGGCGGAGCAACUGAGGUUCAGCGGGGUACCUGUCCCGUUCCGCGGUAACCUGCAUUGGCACCUGAAUAAGCAUUGGUACCUACAAAAGUAUUGGUACUUGCCCGAGAAUCAUGAGAGCAGAAGCAACAUUAUAAUUGUAUUCGACACCACAGCCGAGAGGUUUCGUGAGAUGUGUGCUCCGGUUGUUCCUGACCACCAUAAACUGUUUGAGAUGGAUGGCAUGCUCGGCAUGUCCAGCUUUAACAAUACAUGGCCAAUCAUUGAUGUCUGGAUGAUGCAGGAGCAGGACUAUGAAAGUGAGGUCUGGACCUUGAAAUACCGAGUUGAAUUGUCCAAUGCAGAUCUUCUCCUUGUGCAGUUUGGUCAGUUUGUCGAUUAUUGGAAUGUGGUGGUCGCCUCUUGUGAUGGCGCUGUGCUUGUGCUGGUCAAGUUUGGCAAGUCUAUACUUCAGUUUGAUAUUGAUGGCAAGUUGGUCAGUUUUCAUCACAAAGACCUCUUAGUUACUCAACAUCGGCUCAAGCAAACUCUUGUUCCACAUACCUUCUUUCCGAGACUAGAUGGUCAUUCCGUGAAUGCUUGGCCUUUCAUCUGA
rnacentral:rRNA from 1 species